rnacentral:rRNA from 1 species
GACGAACGCUGGCGGCGUGCCUAAUACAUGCAAGUUGGGCGCUGAAGGUUGGUACUUGUACCAACUGGAUGAGCAGCGAACGGGUGAGUAACGCGUGGGGAAUCUGCCUUUGAGCGGGGGACAACAUUUGGAAACGAAUGCUAAUACCGCAUAAAAACUUUAAACACAAGUUUUAAGUUUGAAAGAUGCAAUUGCAUCACUCAAAGAUGAUCCCGCGUUGUAUUAGCUAGUUGGUGAGGUAAAGGCUCACCAAGGCGAUGAUACAUAGCCGACCCGAGAGGGUGAUCGGCCACAUUGGGACUGAGACACGGCCCAAACUCCUACGGGAGGCAGCAGUAGGGAAUCUUCGGCAAUGGACGAAAGUCUGACCGAGCAACGCCGCGUGAGUGAAGAAGGUUUUCGGAUCGUAAAACUCUGUUGGUAGAGAAGAACGUUGGUGAGAGUGGAAAGCUCAUCAAGUGACGGUAACUACCCAGAAAGGGACGGCUAACUACGUG